rnacentral:rRNA from 1 species
AACGAACGCUGGCGGCAUGCCUAACACAUGCAAGUCGAACGAAGGCUUCGGCCUUAGUGGCGCACGGGUGCGUAACGCGUGGGAAUCUGCCCUUGGGUUCGGAAUAACUCAGAGAAAUUUGAGCUAAUACCGGACGAUGACGUAAGUCCAAAGAUUUAUCGCCCAAGGAUGAGCCCGCGUAAGAUUAGCUAGUUGGUGGGGUAAAGGCCUACCAAGGCGACGAUCUUUAGCUGGUCUGAGAGGAUGAUCAGCCACACUGGGACUGAGACACGGCCCAGACUCCUACGGGAGGCAGCAGUGGGGGAAGUAAUUGGACGAAUAGGGCGGAAAGGACCUCGAUCCACGCAAUAGCCGCCGUGAGUGAU